CAGGCGAAAUUGACAGGCGCCUGUUAUAUGGACAGCACUUGCAAUAACAGAUGGGGGGGCAGAGGGAUGGACUGUGCACGGGCGCCUGAUUGAUCACACCAAAGUGGGCAAACACACAAGGAUUCAACAGGGAUGUGACCGAGGCAUUCGAUGCAGCAACCCGGGAGUCACCGUUUCACGGUGAAGGUGGGAAGAGAGAACGAUGGCAGGGGAAGAAGAAGAAGAAGACGAGACAGAAAAAAACCCUUCUGCAUGUGGACUCUCUUUUGUCUUGGCUGGAAAAACCCAAACUCUCCUCUCUGCCUCCGACCUGAGGACACAUCUGUAACGUCUGAGGUAUUCACUUUGCACUGAAAUGUUCCCUGUGUGUGGCAGCAUGUGCUGUAGACUCACAGGGUCGAGAUGCCUGCAGAGAUGUGGGCUGUGUGGGGGGGGGACAAAAGAAAUCAUCAGCAGAGAUCUGCUCAGUCCUACCGACCACCUUCCUCCCUCCCCCUCC